UCAGCUCGUGUCGUGAGAUGUUGGUUAGUCCGCAACGAGCGCAACCCUACUUGUUAGUUGUCCAUCAUUCUAGGUUGGGCGACUCUAGCGAGACUGCGGUAAUAACGGAGGAAGGUGGGGAUGACGUCAAAUCAUCAUGCCCCUUAUGACCUGGGCUACACACGUGCUACAAUGGUUGGUACAACGAGUUGCGAGUCGGUGACGGCGAGCUAAUCUCUUAAAGCCAAUCUCAGUUCGGAUUGUAGGCUGCAACUCGCCUACAUGAAGUCGGAAUCGCUAGUAAUCGCGGAUCAGCACGCCGCGGUGAAUACGUUCCCGGGCCUU
rnacentral:rRNA from 1 species